rnacentral:rRNA from 1 species
UUAAAUUGAAGAGUUUGAUCAUGGCUCAGAUUGAACGCUGGCGGCAGGCCUAACACAUGCAAGUCGAACGGUAGCAGGAAGAAGCUUGCUUCUUUGCUGACGAGUGGCGGACGGGUGAGUAAUGUCUGGGAAACUGCCUGAUGGAGGGGGAUAACUACUGGAAACGGUAGCUAAUACCGCAUAACGUCGCAAGACCAAAGAGGGGGACCUUCGGGCCUCUUGCCAUCGGAUGUGCCCAGAUGGGAUUAGCUAGUAGGUGGGGUAACGGCUCACCUAGGCGACGAUCCCUAGCUGGUCUGAGAGGAUGACCAGCCACACUGGAACUGAGACACGGUCCAGACUCCUACGGGAGGCAGCAGUGGGGAAUAUUGCACAAUGGGCGCAAGCCUGAUGCAGCCAUGCCGCGUGUAUGAAGAAGGCCUUCGGGUUGUAAAGUACUUUCAGCGGGGAGGAAGGGAGUAAAGUUAAUACCUUUGCUCAUUGACGUUACCCGCAGAAGAAGCACCGGCUAACUCCGUGCCAGCAGCCGCGGUAAUACGGAGGGUGCAAGCGUUAAUCGGAAUUACUGGGCGUAAAGCGCACGCAGGCGGUUUGUUAAGUCAGAUGUGAAAUCCCCGGGCUCAACCUGGGAACUGCAUCUGAUACUGGCAAGCUUGAGUCUCGUAGAGGGGGGUAGAAUUCCAGGUGUAGCGGUGAAAUGCGUAGAGAUCUGGAGGAAUACCGGUGGCGAAGGCGGCCCCCUGGACGAAGACUGACGCUCAGGUGCGAAAGCGUGGGGAGCAAACAGGAUUAGAUACCCUGGUAGUCCACGCCGUAAACGAUGUCGACUUGGAGGUUGUGCCCUUGAGGCGUGGCUUCCGGAGCUAACGCGUUAAGUCGACCGCCUGGGGAGUACGGCCGCAAGGUUAAAACUCAAAUGAAUUGACGGGGGCCCGCACAAGCGGUGGAGCAUGUGGUUUAAUUCGAUGCAACGCGAAGAACCUUACCUGGUCUUGACAUCCACGGAAGUUUUCAGAGAUGAGAAUGUGCCUUCGGGAACCGUGAGACAGGUGCUGCAUGGCUGUCGUCAGCUCGUGUUGUGAAAUGUUGGGUUAAGUCCCGCAACGAGCGCAACCCUUAUCCUUUGUUGCCAGCGGUCCGGCCGGGAACUCAAAGGAGACUGCCAGUGAUAAACUGGAGGAAGGUGGGGAUGACGUCAAGUCAUCAUGGCCCUUACGACCAGGGCUACACACGUGCUACAAUGGCGCAUACAAAGAGAAGCGACCUCGCGAGAGCAAGCGGACCUCAUAAAGUGCGUCGUAGUCCGGAUUGGAGUCUGCAACUCGACUCCAUGAAGUCGGAAUCGCUAGUAAUCGUGGAUCAGAAUGCCACGGUGAAUACGUUCCCGGGCCUUGUACACACCGCCCGUCACACCAUGGGAGUGGGUUGCAAAAGAAGUAGGUAGCUUAACCUUCGGGAGGGCGCUUACCACUUUGUGAUUCAUGACUGGGGUGAAGUCGUAACAAGGUAACCGUAGGGGAACCUGCGGUUGGAUCACCUCCUUACCUUAAAGAA